GCGGGUGUGGCGGAAUGGUAGACGCCGGGGACUUAAAAUCCCCUGAGGGUUUCCUCGUGUGGGUUCGAGUCCCACCACCCGCA
rnacentral:tRNA from 1 species